UCCAGGGAAUAGCUUAUCAAGAAUGCAGUCGAGCGAAUGAGGGAGCUUGCUCCUGUCUUCAGCGACGGACGGGUGAGUAAUGCCUACGAGUCUGCCUGGCGUGGGGGAUAACCUCCGGAAACGGGCGCUAAUACCGCAUACGUCCUGAGGGAGAAAGUGGGGGAUCUUCGGACCUAGCGCUAUCAGAUGAGCCUGCGUCGGAUUAUCUAGUUGGUGGGGUAAAGGCCUACCAAUGAGACAAUCCGUAACUGGUCUGACAGGAUGAUCAGUCACACUGGAACUGACACACGGGCCAGACUCCUACGGGAGGCAUCAGUGGGGAAUAUUGGACAAUGGGCGAAAGCCUGAUCCAAACAUGCCGCGUGUGUGAAGAAGGUCUUCGGAUUGUAAAGCACUUUAAGUUGGGAGGAACGGCAGGAAAAUAAUACCUUGCUGGUUUGACUUCCCACCGAAAAGCCGGCUAAUUUUGCCCCACCCCGGGAAUACGAAGGGGCAAGUUUUCCGGAAUUUGGGCGUAAAGCGCGCGUAGGUGGGUCAUCAAGUUGGAUGUUAAAUCCCCGGGCUCCACCUGGGAACUGCAUCCCAAACUACUGAGCUAAGUACGGUAGAGGGGGGCGGAAUUCCUGUGUAGCGGUUAAAUGGUAAUAUUGGUUGGAACUCCGUGGCCAAGGGGCCCCCGGGCUAUAUCACACUAGUGCAAACGGGGGAAACAACAGAUAGAUCCCCUGGUAUUCCCCCCCGUAAACGAUGUGGACUAGCCGUUGGGGAUCUUUGAGCUCCUUAGUGGCGCAGUUAACCCAAUAAGUCGCCCCCCUGGGGAGUACGCCCCCCAAGGUUAAAAUCUAAAUGAAUUGGCGGGGGCCCCCCCCAAAGCGGGGGAGCAUGUGGGUUUAAUUUGGAAGCAACGGGAAGAACCUUACCUGUCUUUGACAUUCUGAGAACUUUCCAGAGAAGGAUUGGUCCCUUUGGGAACUCAGACACAGGGGGGGCAUGGGUGUUGUCAACUUGGGUUGUGAGAUGUUGGGUUAAGUUCCGUAACGAGCGCAACCCUUUUCUUUAGUUUCCAGCCCCUUCGGGUGGGCACUCUAAGGAGACUGCCGGUGACAAACCGGAGGAAGGUGGGGAUGACGUCAAGUCAUCAUGCCCCUUUACGGCCAGGGCUACACACGUGCUACAAUGGUCGGUACAAAGGGUUGCCAACUCGCGAGGUGGAGCUAAUCCCAUAAAACCGAUCUUAGUUCGGAUCGCAGUCUGCAACUCGCCUGCGUGAAGUCGGAAUCGCUAGUAAUCGUGAAUCAGAAUGUCGCGGUGAAUACGUUCCCGGGCCUUGUACACACCGCCCGUCACACCAUGGGAGUGUGGUUGCUCCAGAAGUAGGUAGUGUAACCGCUAGAGGCCGCGCGAGCGGUUGAUACAUCUCAGAA
rnacentral:rRNA from 1 species